rnacentral:rRNA from 1 species
CCGGUUGAUCCUGCCGGCGGCCACUGCUAUUGGGUUUCGCUUAAGCCAUGCGAGUCGAGAGGGUUCGGCCCUCGGCAGACUGCUCAGUAACACGUGGAGAACUUGCCCUAGGCUGGUGAAUAACGUCGGGAAACUGACGAUAAUGCGCCAUAGCCCAUCCUUCCUGGAACGGUGGAUGGGUGAAAGCUCCGGCGGCCUAGGAUAGCUCUGCGGCCUAUCAGGUUGUAGCGAGGGUAACGUCCUCGCUAGCCUACGACGGGUACGGGUUGUGAGAGCAAGAGCCCGGAGAUGGAUUCUGAGACACGAAUCCAGGCCCUACGGGGUGCAGCAGGCGCGAAAACUUUACAAUGCCGGCAACGGCGAUAAGGGGACCUCGAGUGCCAGGUUACAAAUCUGGCUGUCGUGAUGCCUAAAAAGCAUUGCAUAGCAAGGGCCGGGCAAGACCGGUGCCAGCCGCCGCGGUAACACCGGCGGCUCGAGUGGUAACCGUUAUUAUUGGGUCUAAAGGGUCUGUAGCCGGCCGGAUAAGUCUCUUGGGAAAUCUGGCAGCUUAACUGUCAGGCUUUCAGGAGAUACUGUCUGGCUCGAGGCCGGGAGAGGUGAGAGGUACUUCAGGGGUAGGGGUGAAAUCUUGUAAUCCUUGAAGGACCACCAGUGGCGAAGGCGUCUCACCAGAACGGACCUGACGGCAAGGGACGAAAGCUAGGGGCACGAACCGGAUUAGAUACCCGGGUAGUCCUAGCCGUAAACGAUACUCGCUAGGUGUCGGCCACGGUGCGACCGUUGUCGGUGCCGUAGGGAAGCCGUGAAGCGAGCCACCUGGGAAGUACGGCCGCAAGGCUGAAACUUAAAGGAAUUGGCGGGGGAGCACCACAACGGGUGGAGCUUGCGGUUUAAUUGGAUUCAACGCCGGG